UAGCCCCUCUUAUGGUGCUACAUAAGUGUAGAAAGAAGUUAAAAGAGAUUAGUCUCUAUUAAUUUUGUAUUGUAGUGGUUAUACCCAUAUUUAUGUAGCUACAGAACAUACAGAGUGAGAGAGGAGAGAGUGAGAUGACUUGCAUGACCUUUUGUACAUACUGAGAGAGAGUGAGCGAAAGAGAGAGCCAAUGGUCAGUUCUGGCUAGCGUGAGUAAGGGUCAGCUGGUCCUUAUUCCCAGAAAAUAAUGACGUGAAUGUCAUGAAUGACGUAGUAGUAUUUUGGGGAAAAGUUGAUGGACUCUUCCAUCUCUGCUACCCUAAAGGGGUCAGCAAUUAUUAGUUACUGUUUUUUGUUUGUUAAAAGAGAUGACCAAGGAUCAACAAGUAUUUCUAGUUAUAAACAUACACACCCCUUCCCAAAAAUAAUGGUAUUGUCGAAAAUACCUUUAUAUAGAACUACUGGAGGCAUCCUCUUCACAACUUUUGAGAUGGAGAGAGAGCAUCUUCCUCCAGACAUCACUUUUCAAUAAUUUCCGUAUUUUCCUGAUUCUCAGGUAAGAUCCAAAGUCAUCCUUCCAUAUUUCAGUUUUAAGAUAAUUUAAGAACUGAUCUUAUAGAUUUAUUUUUGAAUGUUAAGUUACUUUUCCAAAAUUGUCUUUUACACAUUUGACUUUUUAUCAAUCUUUGAUUGAAUAAUAUUUUAAAGUUUAGUUUGAUAUAUCUGAUGAUAGAUACUAUUCUAUAAUCUACAUCUUAUUGAAUGUUUGAAUUUCUUAUAAUUGUUACUAACCAUCUACGAUUAUUGUUCAUGGUAAAGCACUUGUUAUUUAUGUUUGUCUAGCAGCGCGAGCAUGGUGCGAGUUUUAUAUAGUUGAGCCUUUUGAACUUUGCGAAUUACAAAUUUUAAGCAAGUCGCGAAUCCAAAACAACUAAACGGUAUUAUUCUGGUCAAGCAGAUAGGCUGAGUUCCCUAUCUUGCCGCGUUAAUACUGUGCGGACUCUAAUGUAUCUGAUUAAAGACUUUCCUGAAUAUCAUUGUGCUAAACCAUUCUAUUUUAUUGUUUUGAUAUUAUGUUACUGUAAAACCAUUUACUAAUCCUAGUUGAUAUAAAAAUAUUUGAGAUGAAGUUUGAUAUUUAAUAUUAGAAAUAUUUAAUCAAGUUUUGAUUAAAUCAUACACAACUUUUGAGAUGGAGAGAGAGCAUCUUCCUCCAGACAUCACUUUUCAAUAAUUUCCGUAUUUUCCUGAUUCUCAGGUAAGAUCCAAAGUCAUCCUUCCAUAUUUCAGUUUUAAGAUAAUUUAAGAACUGAUCUUAUAGAUUUAUUUUUGAAUGUUACUUUUCCAAAAUUGUCUUUCACACAUUUGGCUUAUUAUCAAUCUUCGAUUGGAUAAUAUUUUAAAGAUUAGAUUUACAUAACUGAUGAUAGAUAUUAUUCUAUAAUCUACUUCUUAUUGAAUGUUUGAAUUUCUUAUAAUUGUUACUAACCAUCUAUGAUUAUUGUUCAUGGUAAAGCACUUGUUAUUUAUGUUUGUCUAGCAGCGCGAGCAUGGUGCGAGUUUUAUAUAGUUGAGCCUUUUGAACUUUGCGAAUUACAAAUUUUAAGCAAGUCGCGAAUCCAAAACAACUAAACGGUAUUAUUCUGGUCAAGCAGAUAGGCUGAGUUCCCUAUCUUGCCGCGUUAAUACUGUGCGGACUCUAAUGUAUCUGAUUAAAGACUUUCCUGAAUAUCAUUGUGCUAAACCAUUCUAUUUUAUUGUUUUGAUAUUAUGUUACUGUAAAACCAUUUACUAAUCCUAGUUGAUAUGAAAAUAUUUGAGAUGAAGUUUGAUAUUUAAUAUUAGAAAUAUUUAAUCAAGUUUUGAUUAAAUCAUACACAACUUUUGAGAUGGAGAGAGAGCAUCUUCCUCCAGACAUCACUUUUCAAUAAUUUCCGUAUUUUCCUGAUUCUCAGGUCACUGGUCGUCUGACCAUGAACAGCUUCUACAUUCUAUAUAUUUCUGCACUGAGACCCUCAAAGUCAUUAUGUUAGUCUUACUAUCAGUAGUUGUUUGACAACUGUUUUAAAGUUAUGUCCAGUUAAGUAAAUUUUAAGUAUAAUUUGAACUAUAUGUUCAUACCUGUUCAAGUAACUAUGUAACUAGGAGUUACAACAUUUUUAACUGUAAAUAUCAUGUAUAUAAUGUUAAUCUAGUUUAGAAUUAAAGGAACAUAUAUCCUUUAUAUAAUGAGUAUGUUAGUUUAUUUUAUCGAGUAUUAUGAUUUACAUUAAUUAAUAACAUAGUGUGAAUGUUGUUGAUUGAUGGUGUUUGAUUAUGUGAUGUGUGAUUAUUACAUAUUAAAAUAAUUACAACCUAAUAGUGUUUUAUUUAAGUUCUACCUCUGUAGACGGACAGGGUGGGGAUUCUUCGUUUAAAAACCCUUCCGCUGCACUGUUCUGUUA